rnacentral:tRNA from 1 species
UAAAAGUAUCCAGGGAUGGGAAUCGAACCCACAGUGUUUUGCUUACCGGGCAGAUGCCAUGUCUACUAGGCUACCCUUUC